rnacentral:misc_RNA from 1 species
CCAGACCAAGCUGCGCAACAUCAAAAAAUUCCUGGAACAGGGAAACAAGACCAAGGUAACCCUGUGGUUCCGGGGCCGCGAGAUGGCCCAUCAGGAUCUGGGCGCGCGUCUCCUCAAGCGGGUGGAGGCGGAUAUGGAAGAGAUCGCCAAGGUCGAGCAUAUGCCACGGUUGGAAGGGCGACGCCUUUUCAUGGUGCUCUCGCCCAGAUGAGCCUCCCAGGAGUCUGUCCGGCUUGGCUGAAUCGGCUACAAAAGCGGCAAAUCGGUGCCAGUUUUGCGCAAA